GUUUUCUUUUCAACAAAAGAGAGAGUUUGGGCCAUCCCAAGCUUUAGGGGAACAGUGCUUGUACUUGGAUAUGUGCCUAUGCUUAUGCUUUAAAUAAAAGCUCCAGGAUUAAAUGAUUGCUUCUGUCUAGCUUCAGCAGCCCAAUUACUGCUUGAAAUCAUAUUAGCCAAUCAAUCUGCUGCACGAUUGCCUUCAUCACAUUUACAUGAAAACGAAUUUGGGAAAUUCAGCCCUGAGUCCACCUGCAAAUGCUAGAAAUGUAUACUGCAUUGAAUCCAUAGAAUAAUUUU
rnacentral:misc_RNA from 1 species